ensembl:lincRNA
UCGGGCACAAAGUGUAUCUUAAGUUGCCCUUUUUACCUUCCAGGCUGUGUCUGUUACCUUCCGUUUUACUAAUCAGUGUUACGCCCAUUCCUUUCUGGGCCUUUGUCUUCCUUUCCCUUCAGUGAUGGAGUCUCUGGGGAUGAGGACUGACUCGGUGACCUCAGCAAUUAAGAGGCAUGUGAAAGACAAGAGAGCUUCAAAAGCUACGUUGAAUGUUUCCCUUGCUUCUAAAAUCAAAACAAAAAUAAUAAACAAUUCUUCUAUUUUCAAAAUUUCCCUAAAGCACAACAACAGAGCACUGGCUCAGGCCCUCAGCAGGGAGAAAGAGAACUCUCGGAGAAUUGCAACUGAAAAGAUGCUACUGCAAAAAGAAGUAGAGAAACUGAACUUCAAGAAUACCUUUCUUCAACUAAAGCUAGAUAACCUGAAUAAGAAGCUUAUAGAAAUAGAAUCACUCCUGAGCAAUAACUUGAUAACUGCAAUUGAAAUGAGCAGUCUUUCUGAGUUCCAUCAGAGCUCCUUUCUGCCGUCCACUAGCAAGAAAAAACGGCCUAGCAGACAGUGUGAGUUGGUCCGUCUUCCAUUCGCGAGGGUUCCAUUAUCUUCAAAUGAUGACGAUGAUGAUGAUGAUAAAGAGAAAACACCAAGGGACAACGGUGUCACAUCAAGGCUGUCACCUGACGCUGCAUCUUCAGUAUCAGUAAGGCAGUCUGUACCAGCUCAGUGUAAUGUGGACUUGGUACUUCUUAAAGAAAGUAACUGGAGUAUGUGUGGCCCAGAUGACACAGAGCGCAUAUCUUCUAGGGUCAGUGUACCGCCCAAAGAGGGCCAUUCCCACUUAGAACGAAGUUCCCAGUGUUCUGUGGUGGGUGAGACGACCAAUGGCCGGUGCAACAGCCAUGGAAGGGAGAAGCUGUCUCUGAGUAAUGUGACAGCGAGGAAAAAGCGCGCCUCUUCCUGGGCCUCUGAUAGCCCUGCUGCAGAUGCGCCCUGGGGGGCAGCUUCCGGGCAGCAGCACAGUUUGAGUCCCAGAUUGGACCAGAAUGUGGAGUCGGAGGGUUGUACUAAUGAGAGCAGCACCACAGUGCCCGGAAGUCCGAAAGGCCCUGCUGGCCUGGAAAAUCCUCCUGCACCUCUCGGGAAGCCCAGCCCAGACAGUGUGGGGCGCCUGCAGGGUGGUGGGGAUCCCCAGGGGCAGACAACUGUGUACGGAGCCGACAUGGAGCUGACAGCCACUGAUAUGCACACAAUCAUCACCGUUUCCCGAGGCAGCAGGCAGCAGAGCAGCAGAAAGAUGAACAACUGUGAACACACAGCUCUCAGGAAGGUGAGGGACCGGAACUCUGGGUCAAAGAGAGAAAGAUCGAAGAGAAAAUGUAAAACUGGUACAGGCACAGACGCCACGGGCCAGGCUGAAAACGGACCUGAAGGAGGCUCUGCACGCGUGGGCGGCAGAGAGGAUGCAGGAGACCCAGAUUCUAUUCUCAGUGCUGCAUGGCUGCCUCCAGUGAGUCUGCUGAGGAAAACAGCCCUUCACCAAGCCUCUGGCUGGGAGGACAGAUGCAGUGGCCAGUACAGUGGAGCGGAGAAGGCCAGUGAGCAGGGGCCAGUGCCCUCCUCCUCCCCAGGGGCAGACGGAGCCUUGAAAGAGGGAGGCACCCACGAGUCCCAGCGCUCGCUUGCAUGCAGUAAAAGUAAAGCUUCUAGACAGACGUUUGUGAUUUGUAACUUAGAAAAAGAUUGCUUAUUCCCAAACCAAAAGGAGGAUAAAGAAAACGUAGAAGUUGCACAUGAAUUUCAGACAGCUGACCUUUCCUCCAGAGAAAAUGGAAAUGUACAUGACUGUGAGACCCAGAAUAUCUCCAAGCUGAAAAAGUGUGUUCCUGGUCGGCAGAGUCAGUCAAAGGUCAGUCAUCGUAAGCAGAGAGUAAACAGAAAGACAGAAGUGAUCUCUCAGGUACAGGAGAGGCAUGAGGAGGGUGGUGCGGAUGGUCAUGCCCCCCAGCAGGGAAAUGCCUUCUUGCCCCAAGUAGAUACAGAGACCAUCUCUGGCAACAUGGGUCUUUCAGAUGAUUUCCAGAUACUCAGUCCUUUCCUAAGAGAUCAGGGAAACCUGUGUGACCAUGAGACCCAGAACUUGUUGGGUUUGCAGAAGCCAGUCACCACUGUGUACCCUGUUCAGCAAAAUGAGUCCAAAAUUAAUAAGAAGCUUCGGCAGAAAGUAAAUCGGAAGACAGAGAUAAUUUCUGAAGUGAAGCAUUUUGAUGAUGAGAAAAGCCAGUGUUGCUCAGAAAAAGGUGUUUCUUUCUGGAAGGAGAAGGAAGCUAUCCCCCGAAGGCCAACAUGCUCAGGUGAGCUUCAGACCCCUGCUGUCCCUACCCAGGGCUGCGGAGAACCGUGUGAUCACAAGGCUUUGAGUGUUUUGGCAGCAAGGACGCAGCCCCAUGGUAUGACAGCUACGUGUUGGACUGAUUCCGAGACAGGGGCACUUAGAAGAAAGGCUUGUCCAAGUACAGAGAUAACCCUUGAGCGCAGCCGCACCUGUGUGCGCAUGGGCGAAGGCCUGCAGGCCCUCGGGACAGAUGGCUUUGCUGCUUUAACCCAGAAGCGUGCUGAAACCAUUUCUGCAAACCCAGAAGUCACGUGUAGGUUUCAGACAGUUGAUCUUCCCACCAGAGAUCAUGGAAAAGUGGACAACUGGGAGACCCAGAAGAACAGUGUCACCGGUAUGCAGCUUCCGCAGCAAAAUGAAUCAAAAGCACAUAGGAAGCUUAGGCAGAAAGUAAAUCGGAAGACAGAAAUAAUUUCUGAAAUGAUCCAGAUAUAUGAGGACAUUGAUAAUGAUGUACAUGGCCAGAAAAACUACUCGGAAGAUCUCGAUUUUAAAAUCAAUACUUCUAAACCAAGACUCGGUCAGCAAGGCCUUAGGGAUGAAUACUAUAUGGAGAUCACCAGUGGUGUGAAGGAAAAUUACAGCCAGAUUUCAGAUCCAUCUGAACUAGUUCAGGAGCAUAAGCAAAGGUCACCAGGCAAGGCAGAAGGCGUUCGGACAAGGGAUCGGAGCAGGCCGACUUUGCCAUGGGCCGGCAUGACAGGUACCAGCAGUGGGCCUGACUCUGCCACCAGCAAGUGCCAGGCCACGGGAGUGACCAAGGUGACAUCCAGAGGAAAGCACAGGAAGACCUCAGCACUUCUGCCGGGCUCUGCACACUUGGACCAGGAAAACCAGUGGCAGGGUCUCCAGACCAUGGGCACCGAGGCAGACUCCCACUCGGAGGUGUCACAGCGUUUUUCUCGGGGGUUCCCACCUGACAUGCGGGGUCUCUCCUCUGAUGGUGUCUGUGCAGGGGCAGUGCCUGCAAGUGUCUCUUCCACCAAAGUCCUGGUCGUCAAAGAUGGCUCCUUCCCUGCCCACUCACCCAUCCUCCAGGUCCCUGGGGACGGGCAUGAGAAGACAGAGGAGGCUCGAGCCAGCGCUGGCCAGAGAACACAAAAGGCCACGACAGGUAACAGGACACUGCAGGACUUGACAAACACCAGUUGCUUUGCAAGUAGCACUGUGAAGUCUGAGAGCGCAUCAGAAGGUGGAGCUUCCGAGCCACCAAGCAAAAAACGGAGGUGUGCACCACUCAGUCUGAAAGAGCCCAACCUCAAAAGGAAGAUGAGAAGAUGAAGUAAAGAUGGGUCCUAGUUUCUCUGGAUUCUCAAGGAACGAGGAGUCCGAACAGAAAUUACCCAGGAUCACCAAGGUGGCACACUUGGGGAAAAGUUCUUUCUUUCUUUUUUUUUUCCGCCUUUUCUUGGGGCGUUGACUUGUUCAUUCUUAGAUAUAUGUACAUAAAAUAGCUGUCUUUGUGGUAUUAAACUUCUAAAAUAAUUUUGUCCUUAUGACUUCUUUCUUGCUCAUUUAAGCUCCUUUCUGGCUAAGUCUUACAACCAGACAAGAACUGUUACGCUUUUAAUGAGAUGUGCUAAUAAAUACUUGGGCAUUGGUUACCUUGUUUCACUUGUCUGUUGGCCUGCUUUGGGCAGCAGGGCUGGGCAGCUGCUGGAACCUACCUGGAGCCUCCUGCCCCUCCCCCUCCCCUGCCCCUCCCCCCUGUCAGCUUGUCUGUCUCAGAACCGGGGCAGGGAGGGAGGGACCUUGGGAGAUGGGCUGCACUGUGGCCCUUUCGGCCUCUUUGGGCUUUGGGCUUUGUUCUAACUGUCCUAGCAGUGAGUGGUGGGCAGCUGGCGUCUACUGCUUUCACACCACAGUCAGCUCUAUUCUGCCUCGGAGUGGACACUCCUUCCACCAGCUCGGGCCUGCACCGGGGGCAGAUGUGUGGCAGCUCUUCCUAGGAUCACGCUCUGAGUUCCACGGGGGCAGGGCCCCGAGACCUGGCCUGACCAAGAGGACGCGUGGGUUGGCGAGGCUGGAGCCCUGCGCGGCAGCCAUCUCCUCUCAUGGCCCAGAGCGCAGCGUCCGCGGCUUGCUUCUCCCAAACAACUGCCAGGACUGGACUAAAGACUCACACCAGAACCGCACUGUUUGCUUAUCUUUAUUUCUGAUUUCUUUUUAUGAGACUUAAUUUUUUCCUUUCCCAUGAAAUUAUUUUGUAUUUUAUAGAGAUAAAUUGUAUCAUCUUUUUCAUUACUGGUAGAAUUUGGUCACAGUAAGAAUUUCCUAAUCCUGAGUUGUAAAAGUAAUUACCUGUGGUUUCAUUUUUCUCUUGGGGUUUGCUUUAAUGUACGGUGUGAAGUGUGGGA